rnacentral:sRNA from 1 species
AUAUAAUAGUUAAAACUUUCAACAACGGAUCUCUUGGUUCUGGCAUCGAUGAAGAACGCAGCGAAAUGCGAUAAGUAAUGUGAAUUGCAGAAUUCAGUGAAUCAUCGAAUCUUUGAACGCACAUUGCGCCCUCUGGUAUUCCGGAGGGCAUGCCUGUUCGAGCGUCAUAAUGACCAAAUCACCCUUGUGGUGGACUUGGAGGUGGCCAGUACUGGCCUCUCUUAAAACCAGUGGCGGUGCUCUUAAGCUCUACGCGUAGUAAUUUUUCUCGCUAUAGGGUCUUGAUUGUGCUUGCCAACAACCCCAAUUUUUUAAGGUUGACCUCGGAUCAGGUAGGGAUACCCGCUGAACUUAA